CCCUUAGAUGUUCUGGGCCGCACGCGCGCUACACUGAUGCAUUCAACGAGUCCAACCUUGACCGAGAGGUCCGGGUAAUCUUUGAAACUGCAUCGUGAUGGGGCUAGAUUAUUGCAAUUAUUAAUCUUCAACGAGGAAUGCCUAGUAAGCGUGAUUCAUCAAAUCGCGUUGAUUACGUCCCUGCCCUUUGUACACACCGCCCGUCGCUCCUACCGAUUGAGUGUGUUGGUGAGGAGUUUGGAUUGGCCUCGGAAGGUGGUUCGCCACCGUCCGUAGCUGAGAAGUUCUCCAAACCGCCCCACUUGGAGGAAGGAGAAGUCGUANCA
rnacentral:rRNA from 1 species